UUGAAUCAUUCUAUUUGGUUCUAUGAGGUUCUAACUUGCAUGCUUUGCACUAAAUGCUUUAUGAAAUGAAAUUGGUUGAUGAUAUGGAUAUGAGACCACUUGGAUUUGUUUCUUGUUUGAUUGAACUUGAUUUUGGAUAAUUUUCAUGUUCUGUUUUGGUUUAUUGCUCCCAUUUUGACCCUAGGCCAUGUCCUAGUGGUUAGUGCUUAAUGUUUGAGCUUUGUUUCAGGUCAAAGAGCACAAUUGCUUAUACUUGAUGAUGUGCACUCAAU
rnacentral:lncRNA from 1 species